GAGUUUGAUCCUGGCUCAGGAUGAACGCUGGCGGCGCGCCUAACACAUGCAAGUCGAACGGCACCCCUCUCCGGAGGGAAGCGAGUGGCGAACGGCUGAGUAACACGUGGAGAACCUGCCCCCUCCCCCGGGAUAGCCGCCCGAAAGGACGGGUAAUACCGGAUACCCCCGGGUGCCGCAUGGCACCCCGGCUAAAGCCCCGACGGGAGGGGAUGGCUCCGCGGCCCAUCAGGUAGACGGCGGGGUGACGGCCCACCGUGCCGACAACGGGUAGCCGGGUUGAGAGACCGACCGGCCAGAUUGGGACUGAGACACGGCCCAGACUCCUACGGGAGGCAGCAGUGGGGAAUCUUGCGCAAUGGGGGGAACCCUGACGCAGCGACGCCGCGUGCGGGACGGAGGCCUUCGGGUCGUAAACCGCUUUCAGCAGGGAAGAGUCAAGACUGUACCUGCAGAAGAAGCCCCGGCUAACUACGUGCCAGCCGCCGCGGUAAUAC
rnacentral:rRNA from 1 species